GAGAUGCUCAUGGGGCCCGUUUUCGGCUC
rnacentral:sRNA from 1 species